rnacentral:tRNA from 1 species
AUAUUAUUAGCUUAACUUGGUAGAGCAAUGCACUUUUAUUGCAUUGGUUACAGGUUCAUGUCCUGUAUAGUGUGCCA